rnacentral:rRNA from 1 species
AGUGAACGCUGGCGGUAGGCCUAACACAUGCAAGUCGAACGGCAGCACAGUAAGAGCUUGCUCUUACGGGUGGCGAAUGGCGGACGGGUGAGGAAUACAUCGGAAUCUACUUUUUCGUGGGGGAUAACGUAGGGAAACGUACGCUAAUACCGCAUACGACCUACGGGUGAAAGCAGGGGAUCUUCGGACCUUGCGCGAUUGAAUGAGCCGAUGUCGGAUUAGCUAGUUGGCGGGGUAAAGGCCCACCAAGGCGGCGAUCCGUAGCUGGUCUGAGAGGAUGAUCAGCCACACUGGAACUGAGACACGGUCCAGACUCCUACGGGAGGCAGCAGUGGGGAAUAUUGGACAAUGGGCGCAAGCCUGAUCCAGCCAUACCGCGUGGGUGAAGAAGGCCUUCGGGUUGUAAAGCCCUUUUGUUGGGAAAGAAAAGCAGCAGGUUAAUACCCCGCUGUUCUGACGGUACCCAAAGAAUAAGCACCGGCUAACUUCGUG